AGCUCUCCCCAUCUGCUUCUUGCGCGAUGGCCGCUUCUGAGUCUCCUGAUUCCACACGCAAUUCUCAGUUCCUCCCUGGAUCCCUGGCUAGACACUGUGCCAGAGAAAGACCCCCGACAUGCCCCUGCCUUACCUGGGAGACCCUCUUUCUUCUUUUUCCUCUUAAAUCGUGUGGGCACUUUAGCCUUUGGUGGUGUUUCUCUCACUUCAUUCCUUUCAGCUGUGCUGGCUAAAUGCUGCUGUCCCAGCUCCAGACUCUUCAUGAAGAGGAUCUGGCUUCCUGGCCUGAGGCCCAGAAAUCCCGAAGAACCCCAUAGAGAUGAACAAAUCAUCAGCGCUAUUCUCCAGUUGCUCAGCAGGGCAAGGAUUUGUGCCUGGCCUUCCAGGUACUUUUGGAGUAAGAGGAUGCUGAGGUUGACCUCUGAGUUCCUCCAGGUGACAGAGCAGAUGCACCAUGAACAGGUCCAAUGAGGCCUCCCCUGUGUUGGGGUUCGUUCUCCUGGGCCUCUCUGCCCACCCAUAGCUGGAGAAGACAUUCUUUGUGUUCAUCCUGCUGGUGUACCUGGUGAUCCUGCUGGGCAACGGGGUCCUCAUCCUGGUGACCAUCCUUGACUCCCGCCUGCACACACCCAUGUACUUCUUCCUGGGGAACCUCUCCUUCCUGGACAUCUGCUAUACAACCUCCUCAUCCUUGACAGCUUCCUGACCCCCAGGAAAACCAUCUCCUUCUCAGCCUGUGCAGUACAGAUGUUCCUCUCCUUUGCCAUGGGAGCCACAGAGUGUGUUCUCCUGAGCAUGAUGGCUUUUGAUCACUACCUGGACAUGUGCAACCCCCUUAGGUACCCUGUGGUCAUGAGCAAGGCUGCCUACAUGCCCAUGGCUGUUGGCUCCUGGGCAGCUGGUAUCACCAACUCUGUAGUACAGAUAUCCCUAGCAAUGUGACUGCCCUUCUGUGGGGACAAUGUCAUCAAUCACUUCACCUGUGAGAUCCUGGCAGUUCUAAAGUUGGCCUGUGCUGACAUCUGCAUCAACGUGAUCAGCAUGGUUGUGACCAACAUGAUCUUCCUUGCACUCCCAGUCCUGUUUAUUUUUGUCUCAUAUGUCUUCAUCAUUGCCACCAUCCUGAGAAUCCCCUCAGCUGAGGGGAGGAAAAAGGCCUUCUCCACCUGCUCUGCCCACCUCACUGUCGUGAUCGUCUUCUAUGGGAUGAUCCUCUUCAUGUAUGGGAAGCCCAAGUCUAAGGACCCAAUGGGAGCAGACAAACAGGACCUUGCAGACAAACUCAUCUCCAUUUUCUAUGGAGUGGUGACCCCCAUUCUCAACCCCAUCAUCUACAGCCCGAGGAACAAAGAUUUGAAAGCUGCUAUGAGGAACCUGGUGGCUCAAAAACACCUAACAGAGUGACUAUCACAGAUCCCCAGACUGCGAGAAUGCAUAACCUCCAAAUUCCUCAUUGUUCUUUUGGGGAAAUGGUAACCAGGGAGGACCUUAGACUGUCAAUAGAAAGAACCAUAAAAUUUCUGAGGCUGCUGGUUAGUUUGCUGGCUUUACACAGAAUCGUGCUGUGUCAUAUCAUAGCUAUAUUUUACUGACUAAAUCUUAAAUUCUUUGAUACAGAAUUUGAUGAAUAUCCAUAAGAGUUAUAGAGGUGGUCAAAAGAGACAAACAAACAAAAAUUUUAGUGGUACUGGGAUCUUGGAGGAUACAGGAUAUGGUUGGGCUCUGUGUCCCUGCCCAAAUCUCCUGUCGAAUUGUAAUCCCCAGUGUUGGAGGAGGGGCCUGGUAAGAGGUGAUUGGAUCAUGGGGGCAGAUUUCCCCCUUGCUGUUCUCAUGAUAGUGAGUCAGUUCCCAUGAGAUCUAGAUGUUUAAAAGUGUGUAGCACCUCCUGUUUCACCCUCUUCCUCCUACUCCAGCCAUGUAGGACAUGAUUGCUUCCCCUUUGCCUUCCGCCAUGAUUGUAAGUUUCCUGAGGCCUCCCCAGCCAUGCUUCCUGUACAGCAUGUGGAACAGCGAGCCAAUUAAACCUCUUUUCUU
rnacentral:lncRNA from 1 species